CCCUUAGAUGUUCUGGGCGGCCCGCGCACUACAAUGGCGUGUGCAGCGAGUGCCGAAGUAGAGUUUUCCGAGGUAUUCUUGCAAUGCUCGUUUUGAUGGGGAUAGACCCUUGCAACUGUUGGUUUUGAACGAGGAAUUCCUUGUAAGCAUGGUUUAUCAUCCGACGCUGAAUGCGUCCCUGCCCUUUGUACACACCGCCCGUCGCUCCUACCGAUGAGUCGUCCGGUGAAGUUCGUAGCCCUCGUGAUCGCGGAUCACUGGGGGAAGCAAAAUGAACCUCGCGGUUUAGAGGAAGGAGAAGUCGUAACA
rnacentral:rRNA from 1 species